AGUGAACGCUGGCGGUAGGCCUAACACAUGCAAGUCGAACGGCAGCGCAGUAAGAGCUUGCUCUUACGGGUGGCGAGUGGCGGACGGGUGAGGAAUACAUCGGAAUCUACUUUUUCGUGGGGGAUAACGUAGGGAAACUUACGCUAAUACCGCAUACGACCUACGGGUGAAACCAGGGAAUCUUCGGACCUUGCGCGAUUGAUUGAGCCGAUGUCGGAUUAGCUAGUUGGCGGGGUAAAGGCCCACCAAGGCGCCGAUCCGUAGCUGGUCUGAGAGGAUGAUCAGCCACACUGGAACUGAGACACGGUCCAGACUCCUACGGGAGGCAGCAGUGGGGAAUAUUGGACAAUGGGCGCAAGCCUGAUCCAGCCAUACCGCGUGGGUGAAGAAGGCCUUCGGGUUGUAAAGCCCUUUUGUUGGGAAAGAAAAGCAGCAGGUUAAUACCCCGCUGUUCUGACGGUACCCAAAGAAUAAGCACCGGCUAACUUCGUG
rnacentral:rRNA from 1 species